AUACGUAGGGGGCGAGCGUUGUCCGGAUUUACUUGGGCGUAAAGGGUGAGUAGGCGGUUGUAUAUGUCAGAUGUAAAAGGCUAUGGCUUAACUAUAGUAAGCAUUUGAAACUGUACAACUUGAGUGCAGGAGAGGUAAGUGGAAUUCCUAGUGUAGCGGUGAAAUGCGUAGAUAUUAGGAGGAACACCAGUGGCGAAGGCGACUUACUGGACUGUAACUGACGCUGAGUCACGAAAGCGUGGGUAGC
rnacentral:rRNA from 1 species